GCGCGGUGGGGGUGACAGAGGAUGUGCUCGUACGGUUCAUAGUUGGGUAUGAUAUUCUCGUGGAUUGUUGGGAACGUCCUCUAUAUUCGAAAUAUGCCUUUCGAGGAGCAUUACGAUCUGCAGCCCCCCUAUUAGUCAAGUACCCCUCUUCCUAUUUAGUUUAGGGGUUAAGGCGAGAAAUGGCUUGAUGAACCCUUCCGUUCACCACGCACCGGCCCCAUUCACUUGCAACUCGUAGAGGCUGUAAGUAAACAGUGCCCCACUAAAUUCAAAGUGACGGUGGGAUUGAAAGACGAGAGUGCCUACCUCCGAGCCGAGAGUGCCCGCCCUUUCUGUCAAGUAGG
rnacentral:lncRNA from 1 species